rnacentral:piRNA from 1 species
UCAGGGUCAGGGCCUCUGGGACUUAGAGGAA